GAUGAACGCUGGCGGCGUGCUUAACACAUGCAAGUCGAACGGAAAGGCUCCUGCUUGCAGGGGUACUCGAGUGGCGGACGGGUGAGUAACACGUGGGUGAUCUGCCCUGCACUUCGGGAUAAGCCUGGGAAACUGGGUCUAAUACCGGAUAGGACCACAUUUUGGAUGGUGUGGUGGAAAGUUUUUCGGUGUGGGAUGAGCUCGCGGCCUAUCAGCUUGUUGGUGGGGUAAUGGCCUACCAAGGCGUCGACGGGUAGCCGGCCUGAGAGGGUGUACGGCCACAUUGGGACUGAGAUACGGCCCAGACUCCUACGGGAGGCAGCAGUGGGGAAUAUUGCACAAUGGGCGCAAGCCUGAUGCAGCGACGCCGCGUGGGGGAUGACGGCCUUCGGGUUGUAAACUCCUUUCGCUAGGGACGAAGCGCAAGUGACGGUACCUGGAGAAGAAGCACCGGCUAACUACGUG
rnacentral:rRNA from 1 species